GGUUCCACAUUCCUACAUUGUCCAGGGGCACAUAUAUUGCGGUCCAUGAUCUUGGAUAAACCUGUGUGGUACAGCGCGAAACUGCAUCUAUAAGGUUGUACUGGUUUUUACUUGCAGGACUCCAUAUGCCUACAUCCAUCCCAACGACGAAGAAAGAGUAUCCAUCAAGAUGCCAACUUUGGACAAUGUUCUCUCUGUUCUCAAAUACAAUCUCUACAAAUGCUCGGUAGUCUGCUCCCAUAACUGCUGUGUCAAGGUGAAUAUUUCG
rnacentral:misc_RNA from 1 species